rnacentral:lncRNA from 1 species
GCCAAGAUGAGAUAUGUGCGUACGAGAAGACCGACCUGAAGUGUCUCUUCAACUGCACCUGCUAUGGCCUUUACAAGGCAGUGUGCACCCGUAAACUGGCACAGGAUCCAUGCACUGACGGGAGCCUCGCCACUGUCACGCCAGGUGUCGCCGGCUACAAGUGUGACCGCUGCUUGUCGGAAUCAGAGGUGCUCACCGCUCCUCGUGGUGACUGAAUGGAAGAGACUUUUGGUCAGAUAGGCGAUGCUGUGAAAAUAGGAUGUAAGAAUUUUACGUAUCUUGGGCAUGCUUCAGAAGAGUCUCGUAGCGUUAAGCAACGAUAUGUAGGCGCUCGAACAGGGUGAGUUUUUUUACCCUGAACUUAGUACCUCGUGUCUGGUACCGCGUGCGUAGUACCAUGUGCCAAACUAUAUAUUUCAUUUCUAAUGACGUCCUAUUCAGCAGACAUAAGUUCUUCACACACUUAUGAGGGACUUUGCGCAGAUGAGUGGAAGACACAACGCGUACUUAUGUGCAGGCUGCAGUCCCGCAUGGACGAAGAAAGAUAUUGCUGGUCAUUGUUGAGACCUAUUAUGCAUGAGUCAUCACAAUUUUCUACGUGGGCUACAGUGAAUCUCUUUCACAGAACUUUUUGUUAACACAAAUCCGGUAUAAUUGUUUCAAUCUCGUCUUCUGAAACGCCUGUGCAUCUUGUAGCUGUGACUGGUUUAGUCUGCCAGUGAAUGCCGGACCAGCCUAGCCAAGCCCUUCCACUCGGAACUGCACCGCACCUAUGUUGACAUUGCAAAGAAAAGUACGACUACAUUGUUGCGUGCAAAAACAAUAUUUGUGAUAUGAAAUAAAGAGUUGUGAUG